rnacentral:misc_RNA from 1 species
GCAAACUUGGUCAUUUAGAGGAAGUAAAAGUCGUAACAAGGUUUCCGUAGGUGAACCUGCGGAAGGAUCAUUACCGAAUCGUCAAACACGGGUUGUUGCUGGCCUCCAAACGGGGGCAUGUGCACGCUCUGUUUACACAUCCACUCACACCCGUGCACCCUCUGUAGUUCUGUGGUUUGGGAGACCUGUCUCCCUUCCGCAGCUCUACGUCUUUACACACACGCCGUAGCAACGUCUCAUAGAAUGUUUUUCUGCGUUCAACGCAAUACAAUACAACUUUCAGCAACGGAUCUCUUGGCUCUCGCAUCGAUGAAGAACGCAGC